rnacentral:rRNA from 1 species
UACGUAGGGUGCAAGCGUUUGUCCGGAAUUAUUGGGCGUAAAGAGCUCGUAGGCGGUUUGUCGCGUCUGCUGUGAAAACUCGGGCUUAACCCCGGGCCUGCAGUGGGUACGGGCAGACUAGAGUGCGGUAGGGAGACUGGAAUUCCUGGUGUAGCGGUGAAAUGCGCAGAUAUCAGGAGGAACACCGGUGGCGAAGGCGGGUCUCUGGGCCGUAACUGACGCUGAGGAGCGAAAGCGUGGGAGCGAACAGG